UACGUAGGGGGCAAGCGUUGUCCGGAUUUAUUGGGCGUAAAGAGCGUGUAGGCGGCCAGGUAGGUCUGCUGUGAAAACUCGAGGCUUAACCUCGAGCUGUCGGCGGAAACCAUAUGGCUAGAGUCCGGAAGAGGAGAAUGGAAUUCCCGGUGUAGCGGUGAAAUGCGCAGAUAUCGGGAAGAACACCCGUGGCGAAGGCGGUUCUCUGGGACGGUACUGACGCUGAGACGCGAAAGCGUGGGGAGCGAACAGG
rnacentral:rRNA from 1 species